AGUGCUCUCAGCUGUACUAUCUCCCAACCCCAUGGUGAUGGGACUCUACCUUUUCGUUCCGACAUGUACUCGUUGAUGGCGCUGGAGUUGAAGAGACUCGGGAGGACUGUGUCGGAGGGCAGGGUCCAGGCCAGUCCGUACACCCCCAGGUGGUCCUGCAGGUUCUGACCCACUCCUGCUACAUCUGCCACCACCUUCACCUGCCUCGCACGCAAUAUUAUUAGCGUCUUGUCUACAUCAGGAUGCAAUUCAUACAAAUCAAUCGGCUUCUAGUGUUAGCAUGGGGGAGAAAGUGGAAGACUAACCUGGUGUUAGCAUGGGUAGAGAAAGUUGAAGACUAACCUGGUGGUGUUGCAGGUGGUCAGAGGGUCCCACGCCCGACAGCAUGAGCAGCUUUGGUGAAGCCAGCGACCC